rnacentral:rRNA from 1 species
UACGUAGGGUCCGAGCGUUGUCCGGAAUUAUUGGGCGUAAAGGGCUCGUAGGCGGUCUGUUGCGUCGGGAGUGAAAACUUACAGCUUAACUGUGAGCGUGCUUUCGAUACGGGCAGACUAGAGUGUGGUAGGGGAGACUGGAAUUCCUGGUGUAGCGGUGAAAUGCGCAGAUAUCAGGAGGAAUACCGAUGGCGAAGGCAGGUCUCUGGGCUGACACUGACGCUCAUGCACGAAAGCGUGGGGAGCAAACAGG